UACGAAGGGUGCAAGCGUUACUCGGAAUUACUGGGCGUAAAGGGCGCGUAGGCGGCGUGUCAAGUCAAUUGUGAAAUCUCCGAGCUUAACUCGGAACGGUCAAUUGAUACUGAUGUGCUAGAGUGCAGAAGGGGCAAUCGGAAUUCUUGGUGUAGCGGUGAAAUGCGUAGAUAUCAAGAGGAACACCUGAGGUGAAGACGGGUUGCUGGGCUGACACUGACGCUGAGGCGCGAAAGCUAGGGUAGCAAACGGG
rnacentral:rRNA from 1 species